rnacentral:rRNA from 1 species
GAUGAACGCUGGCGGCGUGCCUAACACAUGCAAGUCGAGCGAUCUUCUUCGGAAGAGAGCGGCGGACGGGUGAGUAACGCGUGGGUAACCUGCCCUGUACACACGGAUAACAUACCGAAAGGUAUGCUAAUACGGGAUAAUAUGCUUUUAUCGCAUGGUAGAAGUAUCAAAGCUCCGGCGGUACAGGAUGGACCCGCGUCUGAUUAGCUAGUUGGUCAGGUAACGGCUUACCAAGGCGACGAUCAGUAGCCGACCUGAGAGGGUGAUCGGCCACAUUGGAACUGAGACACGGUCCAAACUCAUACGGGAGGCAGCAGUGGGGAAUAUUGCACAAUGGGCGAAAGCUUGAUGCAGCAACGCCGCGUGAGCGAUGAAGGCCUUCGGGUCGUAAAGCUCUGUCCUCAAGGAAGAUAAUGACGGUACUUGAGGAGGAAGCCCCGGCUAACUACGUGCCAGCCGCCGCGGUAA